UACAGAGAGUGCGACCGUUGUUCGGAAUUACUGGGCUUAAAGCGCACGUAGGCGGUGUCGUAAGUGUCAGGUGAAAUCCCACGGCUCACCCGUGGAACUGCCUGGCAGACUGCGAUACUCGAGUGUGGUAGGGGAGAGCGGAACUCCUGGUGGAGCGGUGAAAUGCGUAGAUAUCAGGAGGAACACCGGUGGCGAAGGCGGCUCUCUGGUCCACAACUGACGCUGAGGUGCGAAAGCUAGGGGAGCAAACGGG
rnacentral:rRNA from 1 species